AUUGAACGCUGGCGGCAUGCUUUACACAUGCAAGUCGGACGGCAGCACAGAGAAGCUUGCUUCUUGGGUGGCGAGUGGCGAACGGGUGAGUAAUAUAUCGGAACGUACCGAGUAAUGGGGGAUAACUAAUCGAAAGAUUAGCUAAUACCGCAUAUUCUCUGAGGAGGAAAGCAGGGGACCUUCGGGCCUUGCGUUAUUCGAGCGGCCGAUAUCUGAUUAGCUAGUUGGUGGGGUAAAGGCCUACCAAGGCGACGAUCAGUAGCGGGUCUGAGAGGAUGAUCGGCCACACUGGGACUGAGACACGGCCCAGACUCCUACGGGAGGCAGCAGUGGGGAAUUUUGGACAAUGGGCGCAAGCCUGAUACAGCCAUGCCGCGUGUCUGAAGAGGGCCUUCGGGUUGUAAAGGACUUUUGUCAGGGAAGAAAAGGCUGUUGCUAAUACCGACAGCUGAUGACGGUACCUGAAGAAUAAGCACCGGCUAACUACGUG
rnacentral:rRNA from 1 species